CAGCCGUCAACCAGGUCCGGCGCUGUGGUGGGCGGCCCUCUAUCACCAGCUCCCGUAGCGGAGCGGCAACAGUACCAGACGCUGAAGCGGCUCCAACGGCGGACGCGCACGUCCAACGCCAGGAGCCCGUGAGACGCGGCCUCCUGCAGCCGUACGGCGCGUAGCCUUUAGCUCCGGCUCGUCUCGCAGCUCCCCCGCGGUUGCGUGGCGCACGACUCCUCGCGGCUCGCCAACUGCCGCUCGCAGUGGCGCGGUGUGCAGCCCCGACGGCAACGGGACGCGCAGAGGUGCACUACCUCCGUCCCUCAGCCCCAGUUCGCGGACUCCCGGGCGGUGGCAAAGGCUGCGGUCUCCGGUUCGGCCACCACGGCCACAAGGUCAGGUAGUACCCCGGCUCCGGUCUGCUUCGGCUACGGUAGGAGUAACUGCAAGAACUACCGGACUACCGCUGUUCGCGGUGGUGGUUCAGGUCUCUGCUACCCAUAGCGAGAGUUUCUCCGUCAAUCUUUAGCUCUCUAAAGACAGCACUGGCACGUGCCCCGCUCCGACGGCGAACCUUCGCGAACGCGGCCCGACUACCGGCGGCGCCAUCGCCCGCGGUGGUGCGGUUUGGCUCCCGACGCCACCAACUUGAGCGCUCGCUCGCUCCAGCAUCGGUCCGCGGCUAUCUUAACGAGGCGGCCCUCGCACGACUAUUGCACAAAUCUUAACUCUAACUCUCUCUGUCUCUGUUAGCUUACCUUAUUUAGUCACAUAUGAAAUAACUACUACACUAGUGUAUAUAUAUGUCAAACUCCCCUACGGUGAUCUCUGACAUGUCUCUCUGCGGACAGGUCGCUUGGCUGCGCUGUCAACGGUUUCGUUGACGACGCCAAUCUAUUUCGUCCCUAAUUAGGGAAUUAAUUAGGAUUGUACGUCCUACAGUUCAAAUCUAGGGAGCCACUAUUAUACACAUGAUACGUUGAAUGUACAGAACCCCUGACCCAAUUUCAUUACCUUCCUCCCGGCACCGGGAAGGCGCCAUUAGGUCACGGGUGCCGAG
rnacentral:rRNA from 1 species